rnacentral:rRNA from 1 species
UUCCCCAUGUUUAUUGUACCUUGUUGCUUGGCGGGCCCGCCUCACGGCCGCCGGGGGGCUUCUGCCCUCUGGCCCGCGCCCGCCGAAGACACCAUUGAACACUGUCUGAAGAUUGCAGUCUGAGCAAUUAGCUAAAUAAGUUAAAACUUUCAACAACGGAUCUCUUGGUUCCGGCAUCGAUGAAGAACGCAGCGAAAUGCGAUACGUAAUGUGAAUUGCAGAAUUCAGUGAAUCAUCGAGUCUUUGAACGCACAUUGCGCCCCUUGGUAUUCCGGGGGGCAUGCCUGUCCGAGCGUCAUUGCUGCCCUCAAGCACGGCUUGUGUGUUGGGCCCCGUCCUCCUUCCCGGGGGACGGGCCCGAAAGGCAGCGGCGGCACCGCGUCCGGUCCUCGAGCGUAUGGGGCUUUGUCACCCGCUCUUGUAGGCCCGGCCGGCGCUUGCCGACAACCAUCAAUCUUUUUUCAGGUUGACCUCGGAUCAGGUAGGGAUACCCG